rnacentral:rRNA from 1 species
UCGCCUGUUUAUCAAAAACAUGGCUCUGUGUAUAUUGAAGAUAGAGAGUCGGACCUGCCCGGUGAAUUUUUUAACGGCCGCGGUACUCUGACCGUGCAAAGGUAGCAUAAUCAUUUGCCUUAUAAUUGAAGGCUAGAAUGAAUGGUUUGACAAGAAUACAACUGUCUCUUUACAAUUACAUAAAAUUUUAUCUGCAGUUGAAGAAGCCUGCAUUUGAAUAAAAGACAAGAAGACCCUAUCGAGCUUAAAAAAAACUGGUGGAAUAACAAACUUAAUCCUAACUUAUAAAUAAAUAAAUAGUCAACUACUGGAAAUUUUGGUUGGGGCGACCGGGGAACAAAAAAAACUUCCUUUAUAAAAAUUUAGAUGCCCAAAUAUUGAUCCAGCAUUAUAUGAUUAAAGAAAUUAGUUACCGUAGGGAUAACAGCAUUAUCUUUUUUAAGAGUUCUUAUCGAAAAAAAGGUUUGUGACCUCGAUGUUGGACCAGAAUAUCCUAAAGAUGCAGCC